GUGGGUCAGCCACGUCGCCGCGCCCGGGCUUCCCCGCGGGCCCGCCGGUCCGGAAGGUCGGCCCGGGGCUCUUUUCUCCGCUGUUCUCCUUCUCUGGCGCCCCCAGGACACGCGGCCAGUGGACGCCCGGAACGGCCGACCGGGAGUCGCGGCUGGGGAUGGAAGCUGGAAUUGGGGGUGCGGGAUGGAGCGGAGAGAGGAGGCCCCGCGCGCCGUCGGCCGCCUCAUUUCAGACUCCCCUGCGACCCCCCCCCCGCCGCCAGCCGAAGCCCGGGCCGCCCAGCCCCUCCUGCCGCUGCGGGACGCCGAAGGUAGCGCUCACAUCCGCGCCUUCCGGGCCUGGCGCCCACGUGCGGAGUCCCCGGGUUAGGAAAGGCCGCGCAUCCGGAGGCCACGCAGAGCCUCGGGGCUUGCGCAGAGGGGCUGCGGUGAGUCCUGACCCUGAGUGGGGGUCACGGGGCUCGUUGCUCGCUGAAGUGAACACGGUUGCAGCUGUGCACAGUGGCGGAGGGAGAGGAUGAGGGACUCUGACCCAAGGUUAUGUGGCAGUGAGGGGCAAGCAGAAAUGGGGGCCUCCGGACCCCACCCCGAGACAGGGCUGCUGGCCGCUGCACUAUGCUGAAUAUAGCCCAAAUUCUUACAUGGGUCGUCCCCGGGGAAUGCUCAUUUUUCAGGCUCCAGAGCUUGAGAGAAAGUGCGAACCCGGUCCCUGAGCAGGUCUGAUUCCCAUGGCCCCUUCGCCAUCUGCUCUGCACCGAAAUUGGAUUCUCCUACGCAGAGGAGAAGGUGGAGAAGAUUCUCCGUCUUCCGGAGGGUAGCUACUGCCGGUAGCUCCGAUUUCCUUCGGAUCCCCUUUCAAGGGCAAGCAGAAGGAAAUCAGUUUCUCCAAAGAAAGUGGCCCGGCUGAGUAAGUGGGAACAAGGUGGUUGGACUGAGGCACGGGAUCCUUUAGCUCCGUUGCUCUUCUAAUCCCGUGGCCCUGGGCACCGCCACUUCCUCCUCUGAACUGCUGGAAUAAUCACUUCUGACUAGCAGAGUUACUGGGAGCCGCUGUUUGUCAGUGUUCACAUUCUGACUUUAGCAGGAGAUGGAGCGAGCGAAGGAGUGAAGCCCUUGUUUGUGAACAGUGAUUGUUUCCCGGAUGACAGCCAGAUGCCGGGCAGGGCCACGCAGAUCUUAGCUGGAGCCUACAGGUACAAGUGAGAGCCACCCCCUUUGACGUAACUGGACUGGCAUUUACAGAACUCAUGUACAGCCCACUCUCAGGAACACCAGCCAGGAACCGUGACAUGGAGGAGAGGAAUUGGGAGGAACCGAGGGGUCAUCAAAGGCUGGUAGGGCUUAGGUGCUCUAGCAAACAUCCUAGUCUGUGGGGUUCCAGAGCUCUGGUGCUACAGCUCCCAACCCUUUGAUUGGCCCAGGAACUGGCUGUUGAGUGGGCAUCCGUGUUCAUAGCUCUGCCCCUUGCAACCCUAAAGCAGAUAAAAUGCAGGAGGCAGAAAUUGCUGGCAGACAGCAUCCAAUUAAUCCCCACUACCCAAUUCAGUUUCUUCCCCUGACCUGACACGUCCCUGCCCAGCUGUGCCUCCCACUGUUCACCUUUUGAGGCACAAAACGGGCUGUUUAUGCUGCUGCUGCAUUUAGCUCAAAACAGGGCUUCAGAGUCAAGGUUCUGGACUCAGGCACCCGGAUUAAAUCCUGCCCUAUGAAUUCCUAGCCAGGUGACCUCAGGCCUACAUAACCUUUCUGUACCUCAACUUCCUCAUCCAGAAAACAGGGAUGAUGCUGUCUACCUCAUUGGAUGGUUGUGCAGGAUCAAAGAUUCAGUCAUUCAGCAAACCUAUACCGAGUACCUACUGUACACUCAUGAGUGCUAGGCAGCCAGCCUUCCAGGUGCUCAGGUACAUCUGUGAACACAACUGGCUAUUGGAGGAAGCAAAAUCAGUAACAUGACCUGCUCUCUUUGAUCUGUGCUACAGAAAAAAAGGAAAGUGGAGAGGCAUCAGGAAGUCAGGAGUGCUGGGGAGGGGCUGGUAACAGUCAUGGUAUUAAAGAGGAGGGCAGGCAGGCCUUACUGUGAAGGUGGUAUUUGAGAUGAAGUAGUUGGUCAGAGUCCCUGUUUGACACAUGGAGACCACCUUGACAGCAAAGGCCCUAAGGGGGAGCGGUGCGAAGCAAGGUGGGCUGGUGAGUGAGAGGAGAGGGAUGGCAUAGAGCUGGGUGGGGGCACAGGAGCCCGUGGGGAAGGUGUUCGCCUCUGAAUGAAGUGGGGUUGUAUCAGAUACCACGGGUGAAGCAUCGGGAAGAGGAUCCUGCCUGUAAACCCUGCUCAAGGACUGCACCAUCAUCAUGCCCAGUGUGUGCGUGUAUUAGGUUUGUAUGAAUAUAAUGUUGCCAAUUGUAUCUGUUUUUAUGAAAUGUUUGCUAUGUGCCAAUGAUUAUUCGAUCCAUGGGGAGACCAUAGAAGAAUGAUCCAAGGAGUUGGGAGGGGAAUCAAAUAAUAAAUCAGCGAUUCUGCAAUAUAA
ensembl:lncRNA ZNF496-DT ZNF496 divergent transcript